GACGAACGCUGGCGGCGUGCUUAACACAUGCAAGUCGAACGAAGUGGCGAACGGGUGAGUAACGCGUAAUCAACCUGCCCUUCAGAGGGGGAUAACAGUUGGGAACGACUGCUAAUACCGCUUACUGAAGGAGGGGAUUGCGUGUGAUUAGCUAGUUGGAGGGGUAACGGCCCACCAAGGCGAUGAUCAGUCGCCGGUCUGGAGGGAUGAACGGCAAAAUUGGGACUGGGAAAAGGCCCAGACUCCGAAGGGAGGGAGCAGGGGGGAAACUUCGGGAAUGGACGAAAGGCUGAAGGAGGAAAGCCGGGGGGGUGAUGACGGCCUUCGGGUUGUAAAGCUCUGUUAAUCGGGACGCGGUACCGGAAUAGGAAGCCACGGCUAACUACGUGCCAGCAGCCGCGGUAAUAC
rnacentral:rRNA from 1 species